rfam:Triticum urartu cultivar G1812 contig158835, whole genome shotgun sequence.
UUUGGUGCGGUGAUUAUAAAACAUUCCACGUACUGACGGGAAAUCCUUGUUACCGACAUCUAUACAUCCAUAUAAUCUUUUUUUUUGCGAAAAUACAUCCAUAGAUUCUGAGCACCA